CUAGAUCUAGAGAAGCGGAGGUAAGAAGGUUAAAUUAGUAAUUUACAUGAUUUUUAUUGUAGUUUCACUGUUUGUUAGGCCCAAUUAUUAAAUCUUUAGAUCAGAGGUCCAGCUUGAUCAUGUGUGGUAUCUAUUGUGGUGCAUUGGAAUGAAAAGCCCACAUACUUAAAUAUAGAAUCUAGUAGGCCUAUACUAUAACUGUACUGCCCUAUACUUUAAAUUUGUUACCACAAGAAAAAAGCCUAUUUACUAUUAUUAGUUAUAAUUAAAUUAAAUUGAAAUAUUUGUUUAUCUUUAUAGUUUAUAGUGAAUGCAUGCUAAUGAGCAUUAUUCAAGCUGCUGUUAUAUUUAGGCUUAUAGGCCUAUAUACUCUAUAGCUUAGGCUAUAUACUAUAGACUAUAUAUUAUAUACCAAUAUUGUGCAUAAAACUUAAAGCAUGUAAGCAUACACAAUAAUAAUUAUCAUUAGACCUAUAGUAACUAAGACUCAUACUAUUUAGUACUACUUUAAUACUACCUUUAAACUAUUAGGCAUAAUGAAAUAAUGAUUAAUAAUUUCAGUGUUUUCCGCACUCAAGAGGAAGGAGGUUGCAGGGAACUUAGAGACUAAUCUUUGCCAACAUACUGGAUUUCUGGUGAUGACAAUAGGAGCAAAUAGUAUGCGGCUCAGUUAAUACUAAAAACAAUUGAUUUUAGUAAUUAGUGGACUAUGAGUGUGUGUUUGGUCAUCCAGAUAUCAUAACUACAACUGAUGUUCAAUUACAAGGGAUAUUAAUCAGUCUCCGUGGACUAUACACUGUGCCUAGUUUCAUCCUCAGAGACUGAUGUGUAAGCUUAAAGUAAAGACAUCAAAUCAAAGUAUCAGCUAUCAAGAGGAAGAACAUUCAAAAUCAUAUUGUGAUACACAAAUCAAGCAAGUCUAUAACCAGCAAUAUGAUACAGGCCAAGAAAAAGCUGGAUAUUUGAUUGGAAGGGUGGCACAAAAAAGAUGGGUUAUCACUAGGGAAACAAGCUCGGAAUACAGUUCACUGUUGGGACAUCAAGCCAAAUACUUCUAAACUUAUUUGAAUCAUUUUUGCUGUUUAUUAUAAUUCAUCCAAUUGUCUUAUUAAAUAUAUAAAUUUAUAUAUAUACACAAUUCCUAAUAUAGAAUUUCUAAAAAUGUUUUAUUAUAAUAUUUAAAAAUGAAACAAACAUGUUCCCAGAACACACAAAAUGUCAUUAUGUGCCCAGAACACACAAAAUGGCAACAUGUUCCCAGAACACACAAAAUGGCAACAUGUGCCGAGAACACAAAAAAUGACAACAUGUGCCGUUAACAAUACUUCACUUUUUCCUUAACAAUUUUACAAGCAGGUAAUAAAGCCAUAAAUCUUUACUGUGGAUAUAGCCAAUAAAUAGGGUAACCUUCACUUUAUGCAAUUUGUAGUUUUCAAUGCCUGUCCCAUGCAAAGUAUUUAGCCUAGUGUUUUGGGCCUUGCUUCAUUUACUCAAUAAAUUAUAUAGGCAUGAGAAUUUUCAUUUUAAUCUGCAAAAGCUACAUUCUGUACAUUAUUAUUUUCAAACUACAUCAUAUAUUUUUCUCCUCUCUGAUAAAAAAUAUUCCUCAUAUUGUUUGUGUCAAGUAUUUUAUUUUUAUCUAUGCAAUGCUAUAUUCCUAUUUUAUAAUAAUUACUUUUAUACAAAUUCUUUUGAAAACUGUUCUUUAUUGAUUUGUAUCAUUUUCUUUAUUUCUGAAAAAUAAAACUUUGUUUGGGAAUCC